CUACGGGUGGCAGCAGUGGGGAAUAUUGGACAAUGGGGGAAACCCUGAUCCAGCAAUGCCGCGUGUGUGAAGAAGGCCUGCGGGUUGUAAAGCACUUUCGGUUGGGAGGACUGCUUCUAGCACUAUAUUGUUGGAAGUUGACGUUACCUUCAGAAGAAGCACCGGCUAACUCCGUGCCAGCAGCCGCGGGUAAUACGGAGGGUGCAAGCGUUAAUCGGAAUUACUGGGCGUAAAGCGCGCGUAGGCGGCUAGAUCAGUCGGGUGUGAAAGCCCCGGGCUUAACCUGGGAACUGCAUCCGAUACUGUCUAGCUUGAGUACAGGAGAGGAGAGUGGAAUUCCACAUGUAGCGGUGAAAUGCGUAGAUAUGUGGAGGAACACCAAUGGCGAAGGCAGCUCUCUGGCCUGAUACUGACGCUGAGGUGCGAAAGCGUGGGGAGCAAACAGGAUUAGAUACCCGUGUAGUC
rnacentral:rRNA from 1 species